UACUAACUAUGUAAAGAGGAGUUGCGCUAACAACUCCCCUACAGCACCGUUUAAGACGGUGACGGGUUUUUAUUACUAUUUAAAA
rnacentral:sRNA from 1 species